AAAGUACUCCCUCCAUCCCAAAAAUUUUGUCUUAGAUUUGUCUAGAUACGGAUGUAUCCGUAUCUAGACAAAUCUAAGACAAGAAAUUUGGGACAGAGGGAGUAGUUG
rnacentral:pre_miRNA from 1 species